GCCCAGCACUAAAUUAUACCUCUAAAUACGAGACCCUCUCGAGUUCCUCUCGGACUUAUAUAGUAAAGCUGGACACGAUGAUGUGUCUUUAUGUAACGUGAAAUCUGUGUCUCUCUGUGUGUGUUAGAGGCAGCUGGAGCUCGGAGUCGCCUGCAGGAGGAAGUGUGAGGCUGAUGCAACAUGAGGGUUGGCAGAUAAAUGAAGGAUGAUAAAGGAAUCAUGGGAAGGAUCUAAUCGGAUACGUAUCCCUUUAGUGAUGGUCAGUCAAAACUCACAGAUCAUCUUAUGAAGAUGCUUCAAUCACAAGGGGUAAAAUAUAUCAUAUAAAUAAAAAGUCUACAUAUAAUGUGUAUUUGAUAUUUAUAUGUCUGUAAAAAUAUUUGCAAAUGUAUUUAAUAAAAACUGAUAUUUGAUCAAAA